rnacentral:rRNA from 1 species
UACGUAGGGGGCAAGCGUUGUCCGGAUUUAUUGGGCGUAAAGCGCUCGCAGGCGGCCUGAUGCGUCGUGCGUGAAACACCCCGGCUCAACUGGGGAGGGUCGUGCGAUACGGUCAGGCUCGAGGCCAGUAGGGGGAUGCGGAAUUCCGGGUGUAGUGGUGGAAUGCGUAGAGAUCCGGAGGAACACCAGCGGCGAAGGCGGCAUCCUGGACUGGUACUGACGCUCAGGAGCGAAAGCGUGGGGAGCGAACAGG